UACGAAGGGGGCUAGCGUUGCUCGGAAUCACUGGGCGUAAAGCGCACGUAGGCGGAUUGCUAAGUCAGGGGUGAAAUCCUGGAGCUCAACUCCAGAACUGCCUUUGAUACUGGCAACCUUGAGUCCGGGAGAGGUGAGUGGAACUGCGAGUGUAGAGGUGAAAUUCGUAGAUAUUAGGAAGAACACCGGUGGCGAAGGCGGCCAUCUGGCUCGGUACUGACGCUCAGGCGCGAAAGCGUGGGGAGCAAACAGG
rnacentral:rRNA from 1 species